GUGAAAGGUUUGCAGUGUGGACUGAAUGUUAUUACCACCAAAACAGUUUAAAAACAUCUACAGAGAAAAAGAGAGGAACUAAUAUUAUCUAUUUAUUUGGGAUUCAUUGACAGGAUGGGGACCACACAGAUCAUAUCACUUUUCCUGAUUCUAACAGUUACUGUGGAUUUAACAACUCCACAAUUAUCAACUACAACACCUGCUCCAACAACCACAACGGCUGCUACAACAUCUACAACAGCUGCGCCAACAACUACAACAGCUGCGCCAACAACUACAACAGCUGCUCCAACAACAACAACAUCUGCGCCCACAACUACAACGGCUGCUCCAACAACUACAACAGCUGCUCCAACAACAACAACAGUUGCUCCCACAACCACAACAGCUGCUCCAACAACUACAACAACGGCUCCAACAACAACAACAACAGUUGCUCCCACAACCACAACGGCUCCUCCAACAACUACAACAGCUUCUCCAACAACUACAACGGCUCCUCCAACAACUACAACAGUUACUCCCACUACAACAACAGCUGCUCCAACAACUACAACAGCUGCUCCCACAACAACAACAGCUGCUCCAACAACUACAACAGCUGCUCCCACAACCACCACA